AGCUUUGCGCAGUGGCAGUAUCGUAGCCAAUGAGGUUUAUCCGAGGCGCGAUUAUUGCUAAUUGAAAAUCUUCCAUUAACUGACACGAACAUUGUCACAGUCAACAGUGAAAAAAAGCCAGUUUUUAAAGCUAAAAGAAUUAU
rfam:Fukomys damarensis contig75609, whole genome shotgun sequence.